rnacentral:rRNA from 1 species
CAGCCCUUGACAUCCCGGUCGCGGUUACCAGAGAUGGUAUCCUUCAGUUCGGCUGGACCGGUGACAGGUGCUGCAUGGCUGUCGUCAGCUCGUGUCGUGAGAUGUUGGGUUAAGUCCCGCAACGAGCGCAACCCUCGCCCUUAGUUGCCAGCAUUCAGUUGGGCACUCUAAGGGGACUGCCGGUGAUAAGCCGAGAGGAAGGUGGGGAUGACGUCAAGUCCUCAUGGCCCUUACGGGCUGGGCUACACACGUGCUACAAUGGUGGUGACAGUGGGCAGCGAGACCGCGAGGUCGAGCUAAUCUCCAAAAGCCAUCUCAGUUCGGAUUGCACUCUGCAACUCGAGUGCAUGAAGUUGGAAUCGCUAGUAAUCGCGGAUCAGCAUGCCGCGGUGAAUACGUUCCC